AUUGAACGCUGGCGGCAUGCCUAACACAUGCAAGUCGAGCGGAUGAAGGGAGCUUUCUCCUGGAUUCAGCUGCGGACGGGUGAGUAAUGCCUAGGAAUCUGCCUGGUAGUUGGGGAUAACGUCCGGAAACGGGCGCUAAUACCGCAUACGUCCUGAUGGUGAAAGUGGUGGAUCUUCGGACCUCACGCUAUCAGAUGAGCCUAGGUCGGAUUAGCUAGUUGGUUGGGUAAAGGCCUACCAAGGCGACGAUCCGUAACUGGUCUGAGAGGAUGAUCAGUCACACUGGAACUGAGACACGGUCCAGACUCCUACGGGAGGCAGCAGUGGGGAAUAUUGGACAAUGGGCGAAAGCCUGAUCCAGCCAUGCCGCGUGUGUGAAGAAGGUCUUCGGAUUGUAAAGCACUUUAAGUUGGGAGGAAGGGAAGUAAGUUAAUACCUUGCUGUCUUGACGUUACCAACAGAAUAAGCACCGGCUAACUUCGUG
rnacentral:rRNA from 1 species